GAGUUCUGAGUAAGGGCGUGUGGUGGAUGCCUAGACUGAAGAAGGCGAUGAAGGACGUGGUUUAGCUGCGAUAAGCUUCGGGGAGGUGCUAAGCAACCUGCGAUCCGGAGAUUUCCGAAUGGGACAACCCCAUCGAGUAAACCUCGAUGACCAUCAACUUAAACGAUUGAUGGAGCAGACCUCGGGAAGUGAAACAUCUCAGUACCGAGAGGAAAAGAGAACAAUAGUUAUUCCCUUAGUAGCGGCGAGCGAAAAGGGAGGAGCCCAAACUCAGCCACAAAAUCGUAACGUCUGAAAAGGCGGCACGAUUUUGGGGAUGGGGGUUAUAAGGCUACAGCGUGCAAGCGAAAGCUUGCGUGGAGUUACAAAAUGCUUAGUUAGAAGAACGCGCUGGGAAGCGCGGCCCCAGAGGGUAAUAGCCCCGUAUUCGAAAACAAAGCAUCUCUAUGGCUGUAGUUCUUGAGUAGCUCGAGACACGGAUAGCUCGGGUGAAUUCGCCAGAACUAACUGGUAAGGCUACAUACUUCUUCAGAUCGAUAGUGAACUAGUACCGCGAGGGAAAGGUGAAAAGCACCCCGGUGAGGGGAGUGAAAUAGAACUGAAACCACAUGUCUACAAGGAGUCAGAGCGGGUGCAAAUCCGCCAUGGCGUGCCUAUUGAAGAAUGAGCCAACGAGUUGAUGCAAACGGCUUGACUAAGUCCUAUCGGAUGGAGUCGCAGCGAAAGCGAGUGUGAAUAGCGCGUUUGUCGUUUGUAUCAGACCCGAAGCCAGGUGAGCUACCCAUGAGCAGGCUGAACUUCUGAGAAAUCAGGAGGGAGGGCCGAACCCGUAGAUUGUGCAACAUCUUGGGAUGACUUGUGGGUUGGAGUGAAAAGCUUAUCGAACCUGGUAAUAGCUGGUUCUCUCCGAAAAAGCUUUCGGGCUUGCGUCGCGUGUUCCCUUUGGGGGUAGAGCACUGGAAGGACCGGACAGACCGAAAGGUCGCUGGUCCUAUCAAACUCCGAAUACCAGAGGUACAGCGCGGCAGUUAGACGAUGGGGGCGAAGCUCCAUUCGUCACAAGGGAAACAGCCCAGAUCGUAAUCUAAGGUCCCUAAAUCCAUACUAAGUGCAAGGAAGGAGGUGAGAUUUCUCAGACAAUGAGGAUGUUGGCUUAGAAGCAGCCACCAUUCAAAGAAAGCGUAACAGCUCACUCAUUCAGAGAUCUUGCGCCA
rnacentral:rRNA from 1 species